AAUUUUGGACAAUGGGGGAAACCCUGAUCCAGCCAUCCCGCGUGUAUGAUGAAGGCCUUCUGGUUGUAAAGCACUUUCGGCUGAGAAGAAUAGAUAUCUCCUAACACGACAUACUGCUCACGGUAUCUGCAGAAUUAGCACCGGCUAUUUACCUGCCAGCAGCCGCGGUAAUACGUAGGGUGCAAGCGUUAAUCGGAAUUACUGGGCGUAAAGCGUGUGUAGGCGGUUCGGAAAGAAAGAUGUGAAAUACCAGGGCUCAACCUUGGAACUGCAUUUUUAACUGCCGAGCUAGAGUAUGUCAGAGGGAGGUAGAAUUCCACGUGUAGCAGUGAAAUGCGUAGAUAUGUGGAGGAAUACCGAUGGCGAAGGCAGCCCCCUGGGAUAAUACUGACGCUCAGACACGAAAGCGUGGGGAGCAAACA
rnacentral:rRNA from 1 species